rnacentral:tRNA from 1 species
AUGUUAAUAGCUUAAUGGAAAAGUGCUAGUUUGUGGUACUAGAAGAUAUGAGUUCGAUUCUCAUUUAAUAUC